rnacentral:rRNA from 1 species
UACGAAGGGGGCUAGCGUUGCUCGGAAUUACUGGGCGUAAAGCGCACGUAGGCGGAUUGUUAAGUCGGGGGUGAAAUCCUGGAGCUCAACUCCAGAACUGCCUUCGAUACUGGCGAUCUCGAGUUCGGGAGAGGUGAGUGGAACUGCGAGUGUAGAGGUGAAAUUCGUAGAUAUCGGGAGGAACACCAGUGGCGAAGGCGGCGAUCUGGGUCGAUACUGACGCUGAGGUGCGAAAGCGUGGGGGGCAAACAGG